rnacentral:rRNA from 1 species
GACGAACGCUGGCGGCGUGCUUAACACAUGCAAGUCGAACGGAAAGUCCCUGCUUUUGUGGGGUGCUCGAGUUGCGAACGGGUGAGUAACACGUGAGUAACCUGCACUUGACUUUGGGAUAACUUCAGGAAACUUGGGCUAAUACCGGAUAGGAGCUCCUGCUGCAUGGUGGGGGUUGGACAGUUUCGGCGGUUGGGGAUGGACUCGCGGAUUAUCAGCUUGUUGGUGGGGUAGUGUCUUACCAAGGCUUUGACGGGUAGCAGGCCUGCGAGGGUGACCGGCCACAUUGGGACUGAGAUACGGCCCAGACUCCUACGGGAGGCAGCAGUGGGGAAUAUUGCACAAUGGGCGGAAGGCUGAUGCAGCAACGCCGCGUGCGGGAUGACGGCCUUCGGGUUGUAAACCGCUUUCGCCUGUGACGAAGCGUGAGUGACGGUAAUGGGUAAAGAAGCACCGGCUAACUACGUG